AGUGGCCACUGCCUGGGCCCCGCCCCACUCCCUUGCUCCUGGCGGUGGGGGUUGGGCUCCGUGUGUUUCCGCUAGGCGGGGACCCGGGCCGGUGGGAGCUGUCUGAGAUGCGCUGAGGCCUUUUGCCGUUCCAGCUGCACCUGGACGGUUCCCUGCAGGCGCUGUUGUAGCUGUUUCGUUGUGGCCGGAAGAAGACCCAGGGCUCGGCUCUAGUCUACAAGGUGCGUUCCUGUAACAGGAGAGGCUAGAACACCAAAACCUGCAAUCCUGGCUCCUUCGCAGGUCCAACUCUGGAUGUGAGUUGGCUUCUGUCAAUUAGACACGUUCAAGUGAGAUUUGGAAGGGCAGAAAUCAGCUCUAUCACUUGCCAGAAGAGGCCGACGGAGACCCCCUCCCCCGCCGUCUAUCC